GACAAAACUCAAUCCAAUGUGAGGGAAACCACACUUUUUUUUUUCUAUUCACACAGAUACCUGCUACCCAGGAUGCAAACACUGUAGUUCAGGUAUGGUGUGUAUGUGUGGGGAGCGUACCUAUGUUCCCCGGGUCCUAUGUUCCCCGCUUUGUAUGGGACCGGGGAACAUAGGACCCUUUUUUAAAACCCUAACCCCGAGCGGGGAACAUAGGGAUGACCCCGUAUGUGUGUGCGUGUGCGUGCGUGUGCAUAUAUGUUCACUGAUGAUCUUUUUACACUGACUGAGUACACUACUGAGGUUGUAGAUGUUCUCGGUGAUGAAAGCGUAUCCAAAUCCAAUGUAAGUUUUCAGAUGAUGAUUAAACAUCAUAUUACUACUUAUUACAUUUCUUUAACCAAAUUGACCUUUACUUUAAAUUGAAUGUAACAUUUACAGGACAAUGAGACAAAAAUGAAGGAGGAGUGUUGAAAAGUAAACCCUGAUCUAAAUACGAUUGAAAACAGAAUGAGGAGAACAAUCAGUGACAGAGUGGCAUUUAUUCAACGCCACUCCACACAGGAAAUCCUUACCGAAUACCCAGCUUUACACCACAUUUGAACUGUUUUCUCUGAAAUUCAGCACCUGCAUAACAUUGACCUAAGUACCAGGCCUGUGAGGAGACAACCUACAAAUACAAAGGACUCGCAGAGCGGCCAUAUCUGUUUGGGGACAAUCUUGACCGGCUCAUACGUUGUGGAUAAGAUAUCCAAGACACCCACACCUACCCUAUGCAUGAGAGGCAACCCCUUCGAGGAAGACACCACCAUUACACUUUGCAUGGACGGACAAGACGUCGUAACACCAGAAGAUGUGUCGAUGGGCAUUGGAGCAUUGCUAGCAGUUUAUUUAAUUUUUAAUAUGGAAUACCUGUCAUUUCUGCAGUGCAUGGCAGGGAUCAAAUCAAAUCAAAAGCUUUCAUCAGCUGUAAUUAGAAUGUCCAACAUUCUCCUGUAAAAUAUGUAAUGUAAACAUGUGUAACUAUUGAUCAGUGUCAUUUAUUAUUAAUGUUUCUAUGUAUGAAUGUAUCUAUCUAUUAAUGUAUGUAUAUCUUUUUUUCUAUUCCUUGUUUUUGUGUUGUAUUUUCUGUAACUUGCUGUGUAAUAAAUUCUUGAAACAAUGUCA